GACCAAGGGUUCCUGUCCAACGUUAAUCGGGGCAGGGUGAGUCGACCCCUAAGGCGAGGCCGAAAGGCGUAGUCGAUGGGAAACGGGUUAAUAUUCCCGUACUUGGUGUUACUGCGAAGGGGGGACGGAGAAGGCUAUGUUGGCCGGGCGACGGUUGUCCCGGUUUAAGCGUGUAGGUGUGUGUUCCAGGUAAAUCCGGUUCACUUUAACACUGAGGCGUGAUGACGAGGCACUACGGUGCUGAAGCAACAAAUGCCCUGCUUCCAGGAAAAGCCUCUAAGCAUCAGGUAACAUCAAAUCGUACCCCAAACCGACACAGGUGGUCAGGUAGAGAAUACCAAGGCGCUUGAGAGAACUCGGGUGAAGGAACUAGGCAAAAUGGUGCCGUAACUUCGGGAGAAGGCACGCUGACAC
rnacentral:rRNA from 2 species